CGGGUGAGUAACGCGUGAGGAACCUGCCUCAAAGAGGGGGACAACAGUUGGAAACGACUGCUAAUACCGCAUAAGCCCACGGGUCGGCAUCGACCUGAGGGAAAAGGAGCAAUCCGCUUUGAGAUGGCCUCGCGUCCGAUUAGCUAGUUGGUGAGGUAAAGGCCUACCAAGGCGACGAUCAGUAGCGGGUCUGAGAGGAUGAUCCGCCACACUGGGACUGAGACACGGCCCAG
rnacentral:rRNA from 1 species